AACUCUUCUGAGGUAAUUACUUUU
rnacentral:piRNA from 1 species